rnacentral:rRNA from 1 species
AAAUGAAUUGACGGGGGAGCGCACAACCGGUGGAGCAUGUGGUUUAAUUCGAUACGAAGCGAAAAACCUUACCCGGGAUUGACAUGUACCUGCACGGUCUAUGAAAGUAGAUCUUCUUCGAGAGUGGUACACAGGUGAUGCAUGGCUGUCGUCAGCUCGUGUCGUGAGACGUCCACUUAAGUGUGGUAACGAGCGCAACCCUUGUUCUGUGUUAUACGUGUCACAGAAGACUGCCCUAGUUAUACUAGGGAGGAAGGAGAGGACGACGUCAAGUCAGCAUGUCCCUUACACCCGGGGCUACACACAUCCUACAAUGGAGCCGACAAUGGGUAGCGACGAGGUAACUCUGAGCCAAUCCUACAAACGGCCCCUCAAUUCGGAUUGAGGGCUGCAAUUCGCCCUCAUGAAGCCGGAAUCGGUAGUAAUCGCAAAUCAGCAGGUUGCGGUGAAUACGUUCUCGCUCCUUGUACACACCGCCCGU